rnacentral:rRNA from 1 species
GAUGAACGCUGACAGAAUGCUUAACACAUGCAAGUCUACUUGAAUUUGGGUUUUUUAACUUAGAUUUGGGUGGCGGACGGGUGAGUAACGCGUAAAGAACUUGCCUCACAGCUAGGGACAACAUUUGGAAACGAAUGCUAAUACCUGAUAUUAUGAUUAUAAGGCAUCUUAGAAUUAUGAAAGCUAUAUGCGCUGUGAGAGAGCUUUGCGUCCCAUUAGCUAGUUGGAGAGGUAACGGCUCACCAAGGCGAUGAUGGGUAGCCGGCCUGAGAGGGUGAACGGCCACAAGGGGACUGAGACACGGCCCUUACUCCUACGGGAGGCAGCAGUGGGGAAUAUUGGACAAUGGACCAAGAGUCUGAUCCAGCAAUUCUGUGUGCACGAUGACGUUUUUCGGAAUGUAAAGUGCUUUCAGUUGGGAAGAAAAAAAUGACGGGACCAACAGAAGAAGUGACGGCUAAAUACGU